UAUAUCUGUGUUUUGUUUGCAAUAGUUUUGGUAUCCAUCAGAGCAGAUCAUUUUUGUGAUUUUUUAUUUUUUUUUUCUCAGAUCAAAGAUCAAAAGGUUUCACAUUCUUUGCUCAUAUUUACCAAGGGUGCCAAUAUUAGUGGAGAGCGCUGUAUAUGCAACCAGUUUUAUGCUAAAGCCACUCCAGUCACCAAAUACAGUAGAUAUAUGUAUUAUCUGAAAUAUCUUCUGUAUUGAUCUUGACAUUUAAUGAUAGACUGCUUAUCAUCAUAUUUACAUAAAAAUGUCAUUUUAAAUCUCCAGUAUCCGACCUCCUACAGUGAGGGUAGACUUGGACAUUUUGACACUUUUGACACUUUUCUGGGGGAAGUGCAACAUAUCUGGCACAAUGAUUUCAUCCAACCUGAUUUUUUAUUUAUUCCAGUCUCCACAUGGUAUUGAAUAUUUCAUAGCUGUCUUACUGAUGAUUAGCCGAAAUAAAAACUCAAAUGUUAUCUGUGCGCUCAUUAACUUCUUCCCACAGUCUGACUCAGGAAAGUGAGCUGAAUGUUAAUAUGUACACAGUGGUCAAAAGUUUGUGGACACCUGACCAUCGCAGCCAUAUGCGCUCUUUCUCCAAACUGUUGCCACAAACUUGGAAGCACACAAUUGUAUAGGAUGUCUUUACAUGUUCUCUAGCAUUACAAUUCCUCUUCACUGGAACUAAGAGGCCCAAACCUGUCCAAGCAUGGCAACGCCCCUGUGCACAGUGAAGACAUGGUUUGUGAAGACAAGGUUUAAUGUAGAAGAACUCGAGUGUCCUGCACAGAGCCCUGACCUCACCUCCACUGAACACCUUUGGGAUGAACUGAAACGCCGACUGCACCCCAGACCUCCUCAUCUAACAUCAGUGCCUCUUAUUAUAACAGCACAUGAGGAAUAAAUCUGGAAUGGGAUGUUAAAAAAAAAAAAGAGACCCCAUAUGGAGUUUCAGGUGUCCAUGUACUUUUGGCUAUACAGUGUAUGUCUAAAUGAAAUUCUUUAACCAUAUAAAGAUACACCAUUUUCAGCCAUAAUUCUGGAGAAGUCUCAGCAGUGGUACAAAAAAACAACCAAGAA
ensembl:lncRNA